rnacentral:rRNA from 1 species
UCAGACACGUCAGAGUUUGAUCCUGGCUCAGGAUGAACGCUGACGGCGUGCCUAACACAUGCAAGUCGAGCGAAACACUUAGGUCAGAUUCUUCGGAUGAAGACCUAUUUGAUUGAGCGGCGGACGGGUGAGUAACGCGUGGGUAACCUGCCUCAUACAGGGGGAUAGCAGUUGGAAACGACUGAUAAUACCGCAUUAAGCGCACAACAUCGCAUGAUGCAGUGUGAAAAACUCCGGUGGUAUGAGAUGGACCCGCGUCUGAUUAGCUAGUUGGUGGGGUAAAAGCCUACCAAGGCGACGAUCAGUAGCCGGCCUGAGAGGGUGAACGGCCACAUUGGGACUGAGACACGGCCCAA